rnacentral:lncRNA from 1 species
CCCCCCCUCCUCUGUUACUCCUUACUUAACCCCUCCCCCCUCUGUUACUCCUUACUUAAUCCCCCCCUCCUCUGUUACUCCUUACUUAAACACCCCCCCAUCCUCCCCUCCUCUGUUACUCCUUACUUAAACCCCCCUCUGUUACUCCUUACUUAACCCCCCCCCUCCUCUGUUACUCCUUACUUAAUCCCCCCCCCUCCUCUGUUACUCCUUACUUAAACCCCCCCCCCCCCCCCCCCCCCCCUCUGUUACUCCUGAUCUGGAGGACUCACUAAACAGAGAACAUCCCUGGUCAUCCCUACUGCCUCUGAUCUGGAGGACUCACUAAACAGAGAACAUCCCUGGUCAUCCCUACUGCCUCUGAUGUGGAGGACUCACUAAACAUAACAUGCUUCGCUUGUCUUAAUGUUGUAGUGUGACCUUGGCUUUUGACUCUUAAGUAUGUGUAAAACCAAAUACUUUUAGACUUUUAUUCAAGUAUUGUUUUACUGGGUGACUUACUUGUGUCACUCCCUGAUCUGUUUCACCUGGCCUCAUUAUUGUCUCCACCCCCUCCAGGUGUCGCUUGUUUUCCCCAGUGUAUUUAUCCCUGUGUUUCCUGUCUCUCUGUCCCAGUGUAUUUAUCCCGGUGUUUCCUGUCUCUCUGUAACAAUGUAUUUAUCCCUGUGUUUCCUGUCUCUCUGUAACAGUGUAUUUAUCCCUGUGUUUCCUGUCUCUCUGUGCCAGUGUAUUUAUCCCUGUGUUUCCUGUCUUUCUGUACCAGUGUAUUUAUCCCUGUGUUUCCUGUCUCUCUGUACCGGUGUAUUUAUCCCUGUGUUUCCUGUCUUUCUGUACCAGUGUAUUUAUCCCUGUGUUUCCUGUCUCUCUGUACCAGUGUAUUUAUCCCUGUGUUUCCUGUCUCUCUGUACCAGUGUAUUUAUCCCUGUGUUUCCUGUCUCUCUGUACCAGUGUAUUUAUCCCUGUGUUUCCUGUCUCUCUGUGCCAGUGUAUUUAUCAAUGUGUUUCCUGUCUCUCUGUACCAGUGUAUUUAUCCCUGUGUUUCCUGUCUUUCUGUACCAGUGUAUUUAUCCCUGUGUUUCCUGUCUCUCUGUACCAGUGUAUUUAUCCCUGUGUUUCCUGUCUCUCUGUACCAGUGUAUUUAUCCCUGUGUUCCCUGUCUCUCUGUACCAGUGUAUUUAUCCCUGUGUUUCCUGUCUCUCUGUGCCAGUGUAUUUAUCCCUGUGUUUCCUGUCUCUCUGUAACAGUGUAUUUAUCCCUGUGUUUCCUGUCUCUCUGUGCCAGUGUAUUUAUCCCUGUGUUUCCUGUCUCUCUGUAACAGUGUAUUUAUCCCUGUGUUUCCUGUCUCUCUGUGCCAGUGUAUUUAUCCCUGUGUUUCCUGUCUCUCUGUACCAGUGUAUUUAUCCCUGUGUUUCCUGUCUCUCUGUACCAGUGUAUUUAUCCCUGUGUUUCCUGUCUCUCUGUACCAGUGUAUUUAUCCCUGUGUUUCCUGUCUCUCUGUGCCAGUGUAUGUAUCCCUGUGUUUCCUGUCUCUCUGUACCAGUGUAUUUAUCCCUGUGUUUCCUGUCUUUCUGUACCAGUGUAUUUAUCCCUGUGUUUCCUGUCUCUCUGUACCAGUGUAUUUAUCCCUGUGUUUCCUGUCUCUCUGUACCAGUGUAUUUAUCCCUGUGUUCCCUGUCUCUCUGUACCAGUGUAUUUAUCCCUGUGUUUCCUGUCUCUCUGUGCCAGUGUAUUUAUCCCUGUGUUUCCUGUCUCUCUGUAACAGUGUAUUUAUCCCUGUGUUUCCUGUCUCUCUGUGCCAGUGUAUUUAUCCCUGUGUUUCCUGUACCAGUGUAUUUAUCCCUGUGUUUCCUGUCUCUCUGUGCCAGUGUAUUUAUCCCUGUUUCCUGUCUCUCUAUACCAGUGUAUUUAUCCCUAUGUUUCCUGUCUCUUUGUACCAGUGUAUUUAUCCCUGUGUUUCCUGUCUCUCUGUGCCAGUGUAUUUAUCCCUGUGUUUCCUGUCUCUCUGUACCAGUGUAUUUAUCCCUGUGUUUCCUGUCUCUCUGUGCCAGUGUAUUUAUCCCUGUGUUUCCUGUCUCUCUGUACCAGUGUAUUUAUCCCUGUGUUUCCUGUCUCUCUGUGCCAGUGUAUUUAUCCCUGUGUUUCCUGUCUCUCUGUACCAGUGUAUUUAUCCCUGUGUUUCCUGUCUCUCUGUACCAGUGUAUUUAUCCCUGUGUUUCCUGUCUCUCUGUAACAGUGUAUUUUUCCCUGUGUUUCCUGUCUCUCUGUGCCAUUGUAUUUAUCCCUGUGUUUCCUGUCUCUCUGUGCCAGUGUAUUUAUCCCUGUGUUUCCUGUCUCUCUGUACCAGUGUAUUUAUCCCUGUGUUUCCUGUCUCUCUGUGCCAGUGUAUUUAUCCCUGUGUUUCCUGUCUCUCUGUACCAGUGUAUUUAUCCCUGUGUUUCCUGUCGCUCUGUACCAGUGUAUUUAUCCCUGUCUUCCUGUCUCUCUGUAACAGUGUAUUUAUCCCUGUGUUUCCUGUCUCUCUGUGCCAGUGUAUUUAUCCCUGUGUUUCCUGUCUCUCUGUGCCAGUGUAUUUAUCCCUGUGUUUCCUGUCUCUCUGUACCAGUGUAUUUAUCCCUGUGUUUCCUGUCUCUCUGUGCCAGUGUAUUUAUCCCUGUGUUUCCUGUCUCUCUGUACCAGUGUAUUUAUCCCUGUGUUUCCUGUCUCUCUGUGCCAGUGUAUUUUUCCCUGUGUUUCCUGUCUCUCUGUGCCAGUGUAUUUAUCCCUGUGUUUCCUGUCUCUCUGUACCAGUGUAUUUAUCCCUGUGUUUCCUGUCUCUCUGUGCCAGUGUAUUUAUGCCUGUGUUUCCUGUCUCUCUGUGCCAGUGUAUUUAUCCCUGUUUCCUGUCUCUCUAUACCAGUGUAUUUAUCCCUGUGUUUCCUGUCUCUUUGUACCAGUGUAUUUAUCCCUGUGUCUCCUGUCUCUCUGUACCAGUGUAUUUAUCCCUGUGUUUCCUGUCUCUCUGUACCAGUGUAUUUAUCCCUGUGUUUCCUGUCUCUCUGUGCCAGUGUAUUUAUCCCUGUGUUUCCUGUCUCUCUGUGCCAGUGUAUUUAUCCCUGUGUUUCCUGUCUCUCUGUACCAGUGUAUUUAUCCCUGUGUUUCAUGUCUCUCUGUGCCAGUUCAUCUUGUAUGUUUCCAAGUCAAAGAGGGUUUUUCCUGUUCUCCUGCUUUUUGCUUUCUCUAGUCCUCCCAGUUUUGACCGUUGCCUGUUUCUGGACUCUGUACCCUCCUGCCUGCCUGACCAUUCUGACUGCCUGA